AUGGAGGGCCCAACCAAUGAGGUAGUCAGUUGGCUGAAAGACGAGGAGAAGAAGCUGAAGGUUGUAUCAAUUGUUGGUUUUGGAGGUUUGGGUAAAACAACACUCGCAAAUGAGGUAUACCAUAAGCUGAAGGGGGAAUUUCAUUGUGGUGCAUUUGUGCCAGUGUCUCAAAAGCCAAAUAUUCCAAAACUUCUGCAUAGUUUGUUAACCCAACUUGGGUGUGGACAAUCUUUUCAUGACUUUGAGUUAAAUGUUCUUCUCGACCAACUCAGAGAAAAUCUAAAAAACAAGAGGUUCUUCAUUGUCAUCGAUGAUCUAUGGGAUGUAGCAGCAUGGAGUAUUAUUAAAUGUGCUUUCCCAGAAAAGAAUCUUGGUAGUAGAUUAGUAGUAACUACAAGAAUCAAGACUGUGGCUGAGUCAUGUUGUUUCGGUCACCACGAGCACAUUCUUGAAAUGAAACCUCUUAGUGAAGAAGACGCAAGGAAAUUGUUUUUUGAUAGAAUAUUUUGCUCUGGAGAAGCUUGUCCAGGUCAACUCAAAGAUGUUUCAGUUGAGAUUCUCAAGAAAUAUGGUGGUUUGCCACUUGCAAUCAUCAGCAUAUCCAGCCUAUUAGCAAGUGGAGGUUCCGACCAAAAGGAGAGGUGGAAACAUGUACUGAAUUCUUUGGGGUCAGUGUCGGGCACAAAUCUCACCUUGGAAGCAAUGAGACAGAUCUUGAACCUUAGCUAUAAAAAUCUUCCUCACCACCUCAAGACAUGCUUCUUGUAUCUUGGUAUGUUUCCAGAGGACUAUGAAAUACGGAGGUAUGACUUGGUAAGUCUAUGGAUAUCCGAAGGUUUUAUUAGUAAAUCACAUGAACAAAGCCUAGAACAGACUGGGAUAAGCUAUUUCAAUGAGCUUGUCAACAGGAGCCUUAUUCAACCUGUACAGAUUGGCAGGGAUGGGUCAGUGUUAACUUGCAAAGUACAUGAUAUGUUGUUGGAUCUUAUCUUGUACAAGUCCGCAGAGGAGAAUUUUAUCACUGUAGUAGACAACCCAGAGGCCAUUAGAGGACUUCUUCAAAAGCCCCGUCGGAUGCUCUUCAACUUGGAUGGUGCAACACUGCCAGGGCAUGUUAGUAUGUCAAAAGUGCGAUCGUUUGUAAUGUGGAUAGGCUCUAUGACUAUGAGUAUACCUUCUCUAGCAGAGUUCAAGUAUCUUCGAGUGUUUGUUGCUGACUUCAGUUCUAGUUCUUCUUAUGACAACCGGAAAAUCGACCUGACAGGAUUGUGUAAGUUAUAUCAGCUGCGGCAUAUAUGGAUUCGUGUCUGUAGCUGUAGGAAGUGCCAGCUACCAACCAAAAUUAGAGCGCUACAGAUGUUAGAAACAUUUGAUAUAGAUGGGUCUUAUAUCCCAAUGGAUAUUUUUCUCCUGCCGCACUUGUUGAAUCUGCAUGUUCCAUUCGUUGAAAGACUCCCGGAGGGCAUUGGCAAAAUGACAACCCUACAACGUCUGACUAAGUUUGACACACUUCACAAUUCACUUGACAGUAUGAAGGGCCUAGGAGAGCUCACCAAUCUGAUCACUCUAUCUCUCGUAACCGGUUUCUCUGAAGAUGUGGACAUGGAUGUUCUAAGCUCUUCUUUGGGAAAACUCUGUAACCUCGAGUUUCUGCUCAUAUUAUCACCUAGGAUACCUGAGGCACUAACCUUGUCGCCUCCUCCCCCCAACCUUGUGACACUCGACAUGAAUAGAAGCUCCCACGUCCCUAACUGGAUUGGGGAACUCCAUAACCUCCAGACCUUGGAUCUCGUUGUUGAGAAGCUGGACAGGGAUGGUGUUGGUAUUCUUGCGGGGUUACCAGCCCUCAUCGACCUGAAUUUAACGUUUGAUAGUGCCCUGGAAGAAACGAUUGCCAUUGAUGGGACAACAUUCGUAAUUCUAAAGCGGUUUGAAGUCAGCUCAAAUAGCAUGCCACACCUGACCUUCCAAGCUGGGGCAAUGCCUAAGCUCCAGACCCUCUCUCUGUGGUUGAACGGCAUGGGGUGGAAGCAGAACGAGAAGGCCGCACUUACAGGUAUCGAGCACUUGGUAGCACUUGAUAGAAUCACUGUACGGAUCACCACUGGUACUGAACCUGAACAAAAAAGCGUAGAGUCAGCCAUCAGGAGCGCUAUCAACAUGCAUCGCAGCCAUGCUCAAAUUACAGUCGAUAUCAAAUGUUACUGA
rnacentral:rRNA from 1 species